AAACUGAAGAGUUUGAUCCUGGCUCAGAUUGAACGCUGGCGGCAUGCCUAACACAUGCAAGUCGAACGGUAACAGCAGAGCUUGCUCUGGCUGACGAGUGGCGGACGGGUGAGUAAUACGUAGGAAUCUGCCCAGUAGUGGGGGACAACUCGGGGAAACCCGAGCUAAUACCGCAUACGCCCUACGGGGGAAAGCGGGGGAUCUUCGGACCUCGCGCUAUUGGAUGAGCCUACGUCCGAUUAGCUUGUUGGUGGGGUAACGGCCCACCAAGGCUACGAUCGGUAGCUGGUCUGAGAGGACGAUCAGCCACACUGGGACUGAGACACGGCCCAGACUCCUACGGGAGGCAGCAGUGGGGAAUAUUGGACAAUGGGCGCAAGCCUGAUCCAGCAAUGCCGCGUGUGUGAA
rnacentral:rRNA from 1 species